rnacentral:rRNA from 1 species
AUAGAGACUCAGAGCUGCAUAUCAAUAAGCGGAGGAAAAGAAACUAACUAGGAUUCCCUUAGUAACGGCGAGUGAAGCGGGAAGAGCUCAAAUUUGAAAUCUUCAAGGUUUUACCUUGACGAAUUGUAGUUUAAAGAAGUGUUUUCUGUUGGAGUUGAGUACAAAGUUCCUUGGAAAUAGGACAUCAUAGAGGGUGAGAAUCCCGUAUUUGACCAUUAUUUCAGCUGUGUGAUACACUUUCAAAGAGUCGGAUUGUUUGGGAAUGCAGUCCAAAAUGGGUGGUAAAUUUCAUCUAAAGCUAAAUAUUGGCGAGAGACCGAUAGCGAACAAGUACCGUGAGGGAAAGAUGAAAAGAACUUUGAAAAGAGAGUUAAACAGUACGUGAAAUUGUCAAAAGGGAAGCGUUUGACACCAGUGUUGUUUUUCCAAAAAUCAAUUACGAAUGGCUGAUUUUGUGUUGUAUUGACCUUAUCAGCUUUCUGCACUCUUUUCUGAGUCUUUUUAAUGCACUUUUCGGUUAACAAGUCAACAUCAAUUUCUUUUGUUGUAAAAGAGUCAUUCGGAAGGUGGCUUUCUUUUCGGAGAAAGUGUUUAUAGCCUUUGGCCUCUGCAAUCGGAGAGAUUGAGGUCUGCAGCGUAGAUCCUUCGGGGUUAGAUACAUUUGUGCUAAGUUAUAGCCUUUCAUAGACAACUUGUUGACUAUGAUUAGUCAUGUCGCUUACUCGCUUAUGCUAUUUUACCUACGCUUAGGAUGUUGACGAUCAGCUGAGCGCG